rnacentral:rRNA from 1 species
CAGUCGCCACGGUAAUACAGAGGGUGCAAGCGUUAAUCGGAAUUACUGGGCGUAAAGCGCGCGUAGGUGGUUUGUUAAGUUGGAUGUGAAAGCCCCGGGCUCAACCUGGGAACUGCAUCCAAAACUGGCAAGCUAGAGUACGGUAGAGGGUGGUGGAAUUUCCUGUGUAGCGGUGAAAUGCGUAGAUAUAGGAAGGAACACCAGUGGCGAAGGCGACCACCUGGACUGAUACUGACACUGAGGUGCGAAAGCGUGGGGAGCAAACAGGAUUAGAUACCCCGUAGUCCCUGUCUCUUAUACC